ACUCGGGACUGGGACGGACUGGGACAUGGCAGUGGCCACAGACAAUACCUUCCCUGCAGGGACAGGCUACAUUACCCUGGGGGGCGUCCAGGAGAGGACCGGACAGAGCCCGGGGCAGGUCUAGAAGAGCUGGGAGAGAGUCUGUGACAAAAGAGCACUGAGGCCUGGGGCCACCAUGCCACACGGCAACCCACCCCCGGGGGAGACGCACGGAGAGAAAUGCAAACAGGGGUCCGCAAAAGACCUGCACAGCUCACGGUCACAGCAGCUCUGACACACGACGGCCCAGGACGGAAAGAGCCCGGAUGCCCAUCCGUGGGGAACAGCGAUUUCGAAAGCGCUACGAUGAAAAGGAACACACGCCUGUUGUUUCAGGAUCAGAUCUAGGACAGGACACCAAGUGUGUGGCUUUUCCACACCAGCCACCAACUCUGUGGACUCCGGACGGGGGCUGGUGUCCCGUGAUUUAGCCCAUGCUGACGCCGACGACCAUGGCCAACCCAGACCCGCCAGGGGACAGCUCGGUCCCCGGUCAGCACCUCCGCCCCACCCGCCACUGAAGUCCGGGUCUCCUAUGCCUCUGACCACCUGCCACUGGAGACUGGGGAUUCCCUGCACCCCCCACUCAGACCCGAUGAAUUGCUAGAGUGACUCACAGAACCUGGAGGAGCAAGACUUCCGAGUGCUGUUUUGCCGCCGAGCACACAGCGCAGGACGGCCACACGGAAGGCCGCGGGGUCCCGCUGGGGGGACAGCUGGGCAGCGGGAGCCCCGUGAGCUGGCCUGGACGCCUGCCCAGAGCUUGGCUCUGAAGAGCUGUCCUGUCGCCGAGUGACUUCCGCUGCGCCAGGUCCCGGAGCUGCAGGCUGGCAGCGCCCUCGGAGAGCCGCCCCCCGGCCACCCGGGACUCGGGGUCCUGGCCCGCGCCCCGGCUCUGUGUCUCAGCCCCCCCCCCCGUCUCAGAAGCGGGCUGCCCCGUGUGAGGCCCACAGAUGCUGGAACCAGCCCGGGCACGGCAAGUGGCAGGAGCCAGUGAAGGCCGCCCAGUGACCUCACUUGGCCGGGCUCCAUGCCUCCUUCUGCGAGGCCACAAGCAAGGUCUAAAGCCGGGGCUCCCCUGCAGAAGGGGCCUGGGGGGGGAGGGGCUCUGGCCCUGCACCCGAAGUUGGGCUACUGGAUGAAAUUUGAACGAACAACGCUGUGGUUUGUGAAACUGCCGUGUCUGGCUAAAAGAGGAGGGUGCAAGGUGCCCCCCGCUGGCUGGGCCAACAGGGCCUUUGUUGAUUUACUGAGGGAAGAGUCUGGGUGGGGGCGCCUGGGAGCUCAGUCGGUUAAGCGUCUGACUUCAGCUCAG